rnacentral:snoRNA from 1 species
UUUUUAUGAUGACUUCGUAUACCGCCCCAGUCGGAGAAAUUAUGUCGAUUCGGAAUUA